UGACACCCUUUUGUUUAUUGUGUUAUCUUUGAGGUUAAAGUGUGCAUUUGUCGUUCAUAAUACUCAUUUCUUAAUCAAUUUAUGUUGUAUAGGAUGCUAUUUCUGGUGCUUUUAGUGCCGUAAUUACAAAAGAAAGUAGGAAGACUGCAUGGAUCGAAAUCACUGCAUUUAUUGCCAUGAAACAUCCUGAUUGCCCUGUAAAGACGGAGAGAAGUGUUCGAAAAAAAUGGAACAACUUCGAAACCAAAGAAAAGGCAGUCAUUCGCCAUCACCUUUCAGGAUUGAAUGAAACAGGUUGUGGCCCAUCGAAUCGACCACUCUGCAACUUGUUCCAAAAAUAUUGGGAGUAGUAUUUGGGAAUUUACAAUCCUUUUGUGGCUGCUGAAAUUGAUAUGGGUAUAGACACUGAGAAGGAUGUUGUCUUCAUGAACGAAGUUGAGAUGGCCGACCACAUUUUGGGAAGGCCAACUAGUAGCACACCAGCAGCAAUCAAUGAAGUCGGAUGAUGAAAGUGAUUGCAAUCUUCAGGAUGACGAGAGUGAUGGAAUCAUCGGGUAUGUAGCAAUGAUGAUAACAUACGUCAAUGCAACAGUUAAUUAAAUUUUUGUUUCAGUUAAAAUAA